rnacentral:lncRNA from 1 species
UCAAGGACCCUCCCUAGGCGUUAGGGGGAAAGGAAGUACAUAUCUUAUAGAAUACCAUUAGGGCAAAACUGGGUUGAGCAACAUAGCUGAGGGUUGCUCUUUGCAAGUUGAAGUGAAGAAAAGGCAGGCGAUAGGGGGGGUGAGCUGCUUAUGCAAGCAUUUUCAUCACUUCCCCAUAUCUCCUGUGCACUCUUCGUUCCUUGUCGAUUUGGCUUGGCAUCGUUGCACUAUUUGCGGGUUUUGUGCCAUGGACUUGAUGCUGCACUCCGCGUUCCCUUGUAUGGCGUCCCUGGCCUUGGCGACAGGUAGCGGCGUGCUCUUGGGCACUUUGCUUCCUUGGAUAAGACGGAGACGGUGCCGACUGCCCGUGCUCUUGCUCCGCCAGUGGUGGUGCCUGAGCUUGUGGCCAUGGUGGCAACCUGCAUGGGAGCAUGGGAUGUAGGAAGAAGGCAACGCACAACAAUUCGUUGGCAUGCAAAGGAUGCUUAGUCUAACUACCAGGCAAUGGAGAGUACAUAGGAGGUGUGAGGGGAGGGGUGAAAACGUUGCCGUGAGCGGACCGCCGCCGCGGUCAGCCUUUGGACCCAAAGUCGAGCAGUGAGGUGAUUGUGAUAGGGGAAGCGAGGAAGAGGGCACUGUGNN